rnacentral:rRNA from 1 species
UACGUAGGGGGCGAGCGUUAUUCGGAAUUACUGGGCGUAAAGCGCGCGUAGGCGGCUGGUUGAGUCGGGGGUGAAAUCCCCGGGCUUAACCUGGGAAUGGCCAUGGAAACUGGCGAACUGGAGUGUGGCAGAGGGGGGUGGAAUUCCGCGUGUAGCAGUGAAAUGCGUAGAGAUGCGGAGGAACACCGAUGGCGAAGGCAGCCCCCUGGGCUAGCACUGACGCCCAGGCACGAAAGCGUGGGGAGCAAACAGG